rnacentral:lncRNA from 1 species
ACAGAUCAUGCUUUUUCCUGGUUUGUUACUGGAACAUUUAGCUCUCGUUAUAUGUUAACAAACUGUACUAUUUCCUCGAAUCACCUGUUGAUCUCCCAUUAGCGUGGCAUACUUCAGUUAGUUUUUCGGCUGAAGCAGAAGAUCUGGAUUAUUUAAGUUUUUUCGUUGUGUUAUCGUGACGAUGCGUCAGCUUAAAGGUAAGGUGAAAGAAUCAAAGAAAGAGAAAAGAGAGAGAAAGAAGGACUUUGCUGAGAACAAAAGAAGAUUUUUGACUAUAGCUCUUCCAAUCAUCAUUAUUUUGUUUGCUUUAAUAGUUUUCUUCAUAUAUGCUAAUACAAGGCAGAAAAGGAAAAUGUGAAGUAAAGUAUUCCACAUGUGAUGCAACUUCCUGGGGAAUCUCAGUGCCUUGUGUUUUAUCUGAAAUAUGCAUGAAAAAUAAUAUCUUUUUAUGCAAUUGAAAACAUGUAAUUCCAGAUAUUAAUCAUAUGAUAUUCAUUGAUUCUGUUUUUAUUACAUAUUAGCUUUUUUAUACAUAUAGCUUUUAUACAUCUUUUGCUUUUAUCAAUUGUUAUAUAUUUUUCUUUAUGUAGUUUAUUUCAUCUUUGUUUUAUGUACAGUUUCUGCUUGUCUCCAACUGUAAUGCAUCGCAGAUCUCAUAUGAAUUUUUAUUUGGAAUUGUGUUUUUUUGUAUUGUUUUGAAGAUAUAUUUUUAAUUUAGUUAAUUCAUUUUAUUUAUUACUUUUUACUAUAAAGGUAUGGACUUACUUACUUGUUGCUUUGGGAGUAUGUUUUGUAUUCUAGUCAUGUACGACUUUCUAAAAUUUAAACAUGCAAUGGCAAAUUCAACUUAACUCAAAAUAUCACAUGAAUGUAGGCAAUUAAGCUACAUAUUCAUGGGGGGGGAAUAAUUAAUAUGUAUUUAGACAGACAUACGAUCAUUUAUACAUGAGCAUCAUCAUUUCUACAUUAAAGAAAUUGUGAUUAAUGUAGACAAACAAAACUUGGGUUAAAAAUGGAGUGAGUGCUUCUGAAUUUCAUACAAGCUGUACAGCAACAUUCCAGUAUUUGUCAUUCCCUUAAUAGCACAGUUUCCAUUUGAUUGGAGGGAAGUAUGCAGGGAGAAAUAGGAUAUCCAAAGUCAUUUCAAAGAUUUUCAACAGGGAUGAGAAUGUGAAGGCCAUUUCUUUUCAAGUAAUGUGUUCAUUCAUUAGGUUUGCUGUGUGUAGACUACAUUAUUAUCCAUUAAAAUAAUGCCAAGCAGUAUUCAUUCUCUUAAUGGAAUCAAGGACUUUCUUCUGCUACCUUUUAGCCAUCACAGAAUCUCCUAUGAAUAUAUGCAAGCCAAUACAAUAAUUAUAUACACCAUUAUACUGCCAGUACUGAUAACAAGUGGCCAAUGAUAUUACUACCUUCUAAUCAGAUCCUCAUACUCUUUACUGGCUUUGUACCUUCUAAUCAGAUCCUCGCACACUUUACUGGCACAUGUUUUAGGAGCAGAAAGUUAACCAUUGUUUUAAAUUUCCAGUGUCAGUUUGAUAAUAUCAGUGCAUAUGUUUCAAAAUCAUUUACUCAGUUGCUUUCUCAAAUUAUUUAAUAUAAUCAUGUUUUCAGUAUAUAAAGAGGCAAAUGUGCUUUAAUUAUGUAAAGAAGGAAAAAAUCUAUUAAUGUUACAAAAUUACAAGUAAUAGCUGUUGAUAGGUGAAAGUAUUAAGUUCUUUAAAAAUUAGUCACUGAAGACUACACAUCAUCUGUGAAAUUAACUGAUGCUUCAUAAAUAUUAUUUCUACCCAAGGAGUCUAGAAUAUAUAUGAGUAAGACUGUCCCAGAAAUCUGUAUCCUAAUAAAAACAUGGAAAAAUUCAUUUAUAAGCAAAACAAAUACAAUGGUAUAAUGUCAGAAUGGUUUAAAUAUUUGAAGAUGUGCAAUUAUAUACUGUAUUAAAGGUACAAGAAGAUAUAUAUCCAAGGAGAAAUUUGGUCAUAGACUUAGAAUAAAGAAACAAAACUAACAGGAAAAACUUGUAUAAAAACACAUUAGCAUGCUUUUGUACAUUGUUGGAAAAAAUAUCCACAUUUCUCAUCUCCUUACACACAACGAAAAAUACCACAUAUUUUGUACAUUUAUUAAAAAAAAAUAAGGUGAGUCCCAGUUUGUUCAAAAAUAUGUAAAUGAAGUUUAGAGAUAUAACAGUGUUUUAAAAUAAUGGACAAAUUCAUACUAUACACAGACAGAUUUAUACAAUGAUGUCAAAAUUUUCAUGAUUUUAUUUUAGAUAUAAUUCACUUAAAUUAAAAACUUAAAAAAAAAAAAAAACCCUCAUACUCAGAUAAAAAAAAGUGAAUCAUAAUUACAUAAAAAAGGAAAUACCAAAAAUAUAUUUAAUAUUUCACAUUCUUUUGUAUGAUGUUUUCUUGUUAAUUAAUUGCUUUUUUUCAUAUAUUUUUGAUUCAAAAGUUAUAUGCUAAUUUUAAUUUAUUAUUGUUAUCUGAUGCAUUUUUAAAUUAAAUUUUUAACACAAGUAUUCAUGAUUUCGAACUAUUAAGGAUAUGACCUGUUGUAUUUUAAAAAUUAAUCUUACUAAAGAACCUUAAAAAAUUUAGUUCUUAAUUCAGCAGAUUAUCAUCUAGCAGAUUAACAUUAAUUACAAUUCAGCCAGAUAAUUAUUUCCAAAAGCUAAAUGUACACUGCUUAUUAUAAUGCAUGCAAGAAAAUUUAAUAUUUUGUGUCUCUCUUUCCCUUCCCCAACAGAGAUUAUAAAACAGGAAAAAAAGUAAUAUUCAAAACACCUUCUAAAACAAUGCAUUUUUUACAACAUUAAGAAAUAAAAUUACUUUUUAUUUGCAUAAAAUCGGUAUAUUUCUAUUUUAGUUAAAAGAAAGAAAUUUUUAUUUACACAGGAUCCAAAUUGAAUAUAUACUCAUAUUAUAUUCUGUACUAAAUUAAAGAAUUUCCCCCCCCCCCCCCCCGUUUAAACAAAAAUCUAUCACUCUUCAACUAAAUCUAAGAUAUUCUCUUAUGAUGCAAAAUCAUGAUCUGUGUGUAGAUAAUGUCAAUUAAUUAAGAUCAAAAUUUAAUAUCUUUUAAUUUUUCACUCAGUGGAAAAGUUAAAAUAUGUAGUACGUAAAGUAACAAUAAGUUUGAUAGUUCUAAAUAAAAUAAACUAUUUAUUUGAAGUAUAUAUAAUUAGAAUUCUGUUGACCAUUAGGAAAAAUAAUGAAUAUUUAUUUAAGGUGGGAGAUUUCUUGUUUUAGUAACUUAUUUUGUUGAAUAAUUUCAUUUUUAAAUUAUAAGAAAAUUAAGUCCAGUAUGUUAACUCAAACAAUAAAUGUUAUAAGUUUUUAAGAUUAACAAAGUUGCUGUAGUUAUUUUUUAAUUACCUAAAAAUUGUAAUUUCUAACCAAAUUUAAAACAUACUCUUUAUGUAUACGAAUAACGAGUAUCUGAAUAAUUCAGUUACUUCACAUUUCUGAGAAAAUUACACAUGAACUCUUUGGUAGGCAGAAUAUUUGCAAUACUGCAUACAUUUGUGUAAUGUUUCAUUUAUAAAUAUUUUAUUGUUGAUCAUUUGUUCUGCGAGGAAGUUGUGUUUCUUUCAAAUAAUGAUAUGUUCACAAAUUGAAAGCAUUUAUUAUGCUGUAUUGAAGUGUGUUUGAUGGUAUAAAAAAUCACUAUUUAAAAAAAACGUCUUAAAUAAUAACGAUUACUUAGUUUGGUAUAUCAUAACAUGCAUGUAUCAUGCAAUGAGACAUCAGUUGGAACACAAGUAUUAUUAUAUCAUAACAUGCAUCUGUACAUUAUCUUAAGUUCUUAAGAAAUGUUUUGGCACAGCUUGAAUUCACUAUCUUAAAAAAAAAAAAAAAAAAAAAAAAAAAA